rnacentral:rRNA from 1 species
UACGAAGGGUGCAAGCGUUGUCCGGAAUUAUUGGGCGUAAAGAGCUCGUAGGCGGUUUGGCGCGUCUGCCGUGAAAGUCCGGGGCUCAACUCCGGAUCUGCGGUGGGUACGGGCAGACUAGUGUGAUGUAGGGGAGACUGGAAUUCCUGGUGUAGCGGUGAAAUGCGCAGAUAUCAGGAGGAACACCGAUGGCGAAGGCAGGUCUCUGGGCAUUAACUGACGCUGAGGAGCGAAAGCAUGGGGAGCGAACAGG